AACGAACGCUGGCGGCGUGGCUAAGACAUGCAAGUCGCACGGAUCGUGUAGCAAUAUACGGUUAGUGCGAAAGGGAGAGUAAUGCAUAGGUAACGUACCUUGGACACAGGGAUAACAGCGGGUCCGGCAAGGAUCCUUUGCGAAAGUGCUGCUAAUACCUGAUGAAGUCGUUGAGCCGCAUGGUUCGACGAUCAAAGGGCGGGCAACCUGCCGGUCUGGGAGCGGCCUAUGUCCUAUCACCUAGUUGGUGAGGUAACGGCUCACCAAGGGAUCGACGGGUAGCGGGUGUGAGA
rnacentral:rRNA from 1 species